CAACGUGGGGAACCUGCCCCAUAGUCUGGGAUACCACUUGGAAACAGGUGCUAAUACCGGAUAAGAAAGCGGAUCGCAUGAUCAGCUUUUAAAAGGCGGCGUAAGCUGUCGCUAUGGGAUGGCCCCGCGGUGCAUUAGCUAGUUGGUAAGGUAAAGGCUUACCAAGGCGAUGAUGCAUAGCCGAGUUGAGAGACUGAUCGGCCACAUUGGGACUGAGACACGGCCCAAACUCCUACGGGAGGCAGCAGC
rnacentral:rRNA from 1 species